rnacentral:rRNA from 1 species
UACGUAGGGGCAAGCGUUGUCCGGAUUUUAUUUGGGCGUAAAGAGCGUGUAGGCGGCCAGGUAGGUGGGUUGUGAAAACUGGAGGCUCAACCUUCAGACGUCGACCCAAACCCCUGGCUAGAGUCCGGAAGAGGAGAGUGGAAUUCCUGGUGUAGCGGUGAAAUGCGCAGAUAUCAGGAAGAACACCCGUGGCGAAGGCGGCUCUCUGGGACGGUACUGACGGCUGAGGAGCGAAA